ensembl:lncRNA
GAGAAAGUCCUUUGCAAGAGACAAAAAGGAAGUAAAACCCAAUUUCACUGAAGGUGAACUAUCUUCAGCUGAGUGGUUCUACACUUUUCACCCUGAUUAUUGAAACUUGCAAUGCAUGAAGGUGGACCCGCACCACAACUCAGACCAGAAGUUGCCUUCUCCCCAUUUAAGAUCUGAGAUCCCCAACAGGGAAGUGGCUUACUCAGGAAGGACCAGAUGUGGCUGACUUCAUGUUCACCCGUCUCUACACUAAAGUGCAGCUACCUUCUGAAGUAAGAAGCUCCCAUGGACCUAGAUGCACGGAGGGUUUCUGAAAUAAACUUUGUUGGAAGAUUCUUGACAUGGAUUUUAAAAUCUGUGGUCAGGCAGAGAAUCUUGGUUAGGAUUUACCCAUUGCUAUCCUGGGAUCAGGAUGCUGUGUAGAGUAUGAAUAAAGCAGAGACAUUUAUAGUGCUUCUUAAUCCAACCUGGAUAUUUUCCCACGUGGAGCUGGGGAGGAAGGUCGCAGACACUUGCUCCUCCCCGAGUAUUUGAGGGUCCCUGACUCCGCUGCCCCUGCCCAGAAUUGAGAACCCUAUUCCUUCUCAGCGCUGUGAAUGGCCCUCUGGUGGACUGAAAGAGUUAAUGCAAUUUCUGAAAGGUUUAAGCUGGGAAGCACAGAGCAGUAGAACUUGUCUGCAUGGAGAAAGCCUCAAUCCUGGCUCUGCAUCGGAAUCACCUGAGGCAGGUGGGAAAUGCCAACAGCCAGCCCUGACACCAGAACUGCUCAUGAAAGUGAGCUGGGGGAAUCUAGCGUCUCAGGCAUCCUGGCUUUAAAAAGCGUUCCAAGCGAAUUCUAAGAUCAGUCUGGCAGGGGUAAGAACUGCUGAAGUGUGAAUCAGAAUCCCCUAGAGAGCUUGUUAAAACAUAAAUUUCAGGGCACCACACCCAGAGACUUCAAUUCCCUGGGUCUGGGGAGGAGGAAAAUAAUUUGCAUGUCUCACCCACUACCAGGAGAUGCUGACACCUGUCUCUUCGCCAUACCCUGUGGCGCAGUCAUGCUCAUCCGUGUCAGUUUCAGAGAACUGAACUCAGAACACAGAACUGAGCACCUAACCAGUUACUGGCACAUUCAAGAUGAGAAUUCAGGUCUUCUGACUUUCGCCUGAGGCAUGCUUUGCUACUUUGCCCAGAGUCUUCAUUCAGC